rnacentral:rRNA from 1 species
GAUGAACGCUAGCGGCAGGCUUAAUACAUGCAAGUCGUGGGGCAGCAUGAGUGUAGCAAUACAUUUGAUGGCGACCGGCAAACGGGUGCGGAACACGUACACAACCUUCCUUCAAGUGGGGAAUAGCCCAGGGAAACUUGGAUUAAUACCCCGUAAUAUUAUGGAGUGGCAUCACUUUAUAAUUAUAGCUCCGGCGCUUGAUGAUGGGUGUGCGCCUGAUAGGUAGUUGGCGGGGUAACGGCCCACCAAGCCUUCGAUCAGUAACUGGUGUGAGAGCACGACCAGUCACACGGGCACUGAGACACGGGCCCGACUCCUACGGAGGCAGCAGUAAGGAAUAUUGGUCAAUGGACGCAAGUCUGAACCAGCCAUGCCGCGUGGAGGAUGAAGGUCCUCUGGA